AUUAACUUUGUCUCUUUGAUCAAUAAAAUUGGAAUGAUAUAGACAAAGAUUAGCAUGGCCUCUAUGCCAAGGAUGACAUGCACAAAUGAAUAAGUUUUUU
rnacentral:snRNA from 1 species